GAGUUCACUGUGUUCUUCGGGGCUCCCGAAGUGUCUAAGAGGCUAAGUAGAAGUCAAAGGGCACAGGCACCAGAGAGAAAUGUUGUGUCCUUUUAUAGUGUUGACUUAAUUGGAUUCACUUGGGGGGAAGAAGUUGGGUUUUGGAGGCAGGACAGGGCGAGGGUGCUUUCUUCCCUUGAGAUCUGGCACCUUUUUGAGUCUGGCCACCUUUGUUCCCAAAAGUCAGGCUUUCUCCUGAGCAGGGAGGAAAGCAGCCCACAGAGGCUCUGUGUGCCCAGCAUCCGCACACCCGAAGGCUUCUCUUCAGCUGCACGCACUCGGACGUCUGGAGCAGGGCAGGUUUGUAGGCACACAGACGAAUGAGUCCUGUCUUCCACACAUGAAGAACAUGUCUGAACAGUGCUCUCCUGAUAACGGGAUGUGUCACCUGUUUUGUGAGGUUGCUGAUGGCUCGCGUUCCGCCCACACGCAACAUAACAGCACCCAACGGUUACUGGGCACUUACAAGACACCAGGCACCGUUCUAAGGCUUUAGAUGUAUUUCCUCACUCAAUCCACAAGAGCCCCGUGAGCCACUAUUUCUACCAUGAGUGAAGAUAGCUUCUCCAAGCAAUGGUCUUGCAUAUGGGAAACCUAUACCUGUUGAAUGAAUGCAGGAGACAGCUUGGCUGGGAAAGGAAACAGUAUCUGGACUUGCAUCUCUGUGCUAAUGCAGAACUGCUGAGUGGAACCACAUUCCAGCAGACUGCCAGGAGAGAUGUCUGCAAAUCUAAACCUCCGAGGACACUAAAGAUCAUGUUCAAAUAGUGCAGGUAUAGUGAUAAUACAAAAAGCCCUCAAUGAUCUUUUACAUAUCCAUUCAUUCAGUCUAUAAAUAAAUACUGAAUGCAUUUUAUGUGCAGAUGCUUCUUCAUUCUGUCUUCCAUUGUGCUGCCACUGGACUUGCCUUCAUGAUUUUUCAUGUCACAACCCACACUGGAAAUGUUUAUUGUAUGUAUUCUAAGAGUAUCAUUUUAUUUGUCUCAUGGGGUUUCUCAUCACUUGCGUAUAAUCUGAGUAACAAGAUAGUUUCUUAUGAGAAAUACUGCUUUCCUCAUAUUUAUCUAAUACAAGAAAAAGGUGUCCUUGUAAUAAACCCAUAUAUUUAAGAGAAUAAGCUCUGAGCUCAUUUCUGAAGAGCUGGUAAGAACCAGCCUUUUAUAUAUGAUGAGAAAAGUAAUUUUCUGGAUUCAUAGAAUAGGAAGAGUAAAGGUGACUAUAACAUCAGUUACAGUGUUACCAGUUAUCCCUGUUGAUGGAGUUAUUACAUUGAGUCAGUGACCUCAAAAUCAUAUCCCUCCUUUGGAAAAGAAAUGACCUGAUCCUGGGAAAUGAAGCAGCCUCUGACUUUGUCACCCAAGGUACAAAAAUAGAGCUGAAAAUACGUAAGAGCCAUAUAGUCAGAGAUUAAUGAAGUGUUCAUGUCCAUUAGAAAACAGUUCUACCCAAAUACCAUCCCCUUUCAUGUGAACAAACACCCCUCAAGUUAACUACAUAAUCAAGCAGCAGAAUGAGGAGAGGACCCUGCCAGCUCAGCUACAAGGGGACAUUGCAGGUGCACAGCUACCAGGUAUCAAUCUAUAGUACUCAAGAGUGGCAUCUUGUUUGAGGGGAAAUGAUGUAUUAGUAUCGGGCUUGCUUUACAAAAAAUGUUCAGGAAAAUGCCUAUCACACAAAGAGCCUAAUAUCUAGCAUCAUUUUUUGGUGUAGGUAAAACCAUUAGUUCUAUUCUUUGAAUCUAUAUUAUGCAGGUUUUAUCCAGAAAUGUGCUUGUAAUUUCCCUAAGCAGCUGCACCCUAGGUUUUCAAAUUCAAAAUUCUGCUCCAUAAGGAGGUAAAAUCGUGAAGGGAGAUACCUUCAGCUACCCAAGCGUUUCUGCCUCCCUGGACAUGUUUGCUCCUCUACAAUGUGUCGGUGGAAGGUUUCUCACAUAAAUAGGUCCAGGGCAGAUGGUGACCCUAGAAAGCGAGUUCAGGAGAGACACAGUAAGAGACAAAGGCACUGACUGCAUGAAGAAAGUAGAUGAGUCUUGACAGGGUGGGCAUGUGGAGUCAUCGGCACAAGGCAAAAACAAAAAGGUAGUUUUCAGCAGUGACCCCCCCCCGCAAAUCCUUUCUGACCGCUUCUAAGUGUGUUCAGCAGUGGACGUUAUUUAUCCCCUGCCUUCCUUCUUCACAGCUCUCUACUGGGCACUAAUUUUGAGUUCUUUGACACCAAAUAAUGAAGACAGGAUGACUGGAACCCUGAUCAUAUGCACAUCUCAUCUGGGUACAGAUUCUUCCUCAUCCAGGAGGGUGAUGCUGUUUAAUUUAGGUAAUGAAGUAAAUUUGUACAAUGGUUAACUGGUCCUAUUUUAAAUAAUUUGAUAUGAGAUGGAUAAAAAAAAGUUGUCUUAUGGAAAAAAAAACCUUUCAAAAUGGGUUCUCCACUUUUUCAGGGAAUCAAAGUGGUUUGAAUUGUUAGGGUGAAAAUUACUUCAAAUUUAACUGUUUUUCUUUUCGCCUACAUUUCAUAAACCUGUGUUUUUCUUCCUAAAAGCCUAUUUGAACUCUCCCUUUCUUUUUUUGGCCUCUGAUCCUGAGAGAACCAUGUUGUCCUUUUUUCUUAACCUACUAAUGCAGAAUGCACUAGA